UAACCUAUCUGAUGUGUUGUUUCCAGGAGCCACUUGCUUUAACCCCACACUUAGUCUUUCUUCAUCACCCUGGAUUCUGUGCCACUGGCUACUGGGGCUAGGGGAUCUUGGAACAAGGGUUCUGGCCACUACGUGUGGACCUGGUCCUAGCAGCUGUCUCAAGUGUCCAUGGAUUCUUUUUCCUUGCUCACCUCAGCCUGCACCAGCUGCAAAUGUGAAAUCAACCUGGUCUGGCAGUGACUUUAAAAGAUCUGGUAAAAACAUUCUCAUUUCUCUAUCACUGCCUGGGCUUAGGUCUCAGAUCCCAGAUGUACCAAAACCCAGUCCAAAUUAUUCUAUUUACAUUUAAUGAAUGCCUGCUAUAUUAGGGUUUACAUUUACAUGUUUAUGUGCUUUCUAGUUUUUCUAUUUAAUGGUCCCUUUUACUCUCCUUUCUUGCCCUCUUCAGGACUGAUAUUUUUAUUACUUCAUUUUUGCUUGCUAAACUGGAAGAUAUACACUUUGGCUACUCCGUCAGGGCUUGUCCUAAAACCUGCAGCAUGCGUCCUUCGAUUUAUCAAGAAAAUGUGGUUGUGAAAUAUCACACAACCUCCAAACAUCCAGAGAAAAAUGCCUUUCUCCAGUCACGAGGACAGUGACUUGCUCUCCAGCAGGUGGCAAUGCUUUCUGCUUUACAACAUGAUUCUGCAUGAUGUUUUUGGUACCCAUCUGCAUGAUGGUUUUGGUACCCGUUUUCUCCUUCAUGGGGAUUGUUCCUGAGAGCAUUACCCAAUAACCUUCCUGCAUGCAAAUUUCUGAGUCUCAGAGUCUGUUUGCUAGGACCCCGAACUCCAAGGAGAGAGAGAGCACGAGUGGCAGAGGGAGAGAGAGAGAGAGAGAACCUCAAGCAGACUCUAA